AAAUCUUACAGCCGAGACGUCUCGCGUUGAAGCGGAGACGUCUCCGGAGCGCCUGGGACGCGACUGACACCUUUUUGCAGGUUUGUUUGAAUUUCAAACGUUUCUUUUUUUGUGUCUAACGGCUAUAUUUGCUUUUUGGGCUAUAAAAGGGAGCUCUUAAGUGCCUUCCAACAACUUCUCACCAACCCAACACAAGAUCAUUCAAGAGAGAAGUAAGAGAAAGAGGUUUAAGGGAGUUAGUGCAUUCAAGUGAAGAAAUCAAGUGCUUUCAAGCUUCCCAACUGAUUUCGAGCUCAACUACUCUCUCCCGAUCGGCAUUCAAAGCUCACAUUCAAGACAACGCGAUCCACAUCGGAAGAACCACCAUUUCCCACGCUUCCAAC
rnacentral:lncRNA from 1 species